rnacentral:lncRNA from 1 species
AGACAUUAAUCUUAAGUAUCCAGGGAGCCCUAAAACAUUGUAUCCCACUAGCAAGGACCAUGGUAAUUGCCACGUAAAUCCCCUCCAUUAUGUGGCCCUUAUUAUGACCAGCCAGCCAAGGCUUGCCUUUAAAUCAUACCAAUUGAACCGAGCCUUGUAGAAACACUAUCACCUACGCAUACCUCUGCUUCUUUUCAUUAACCUGCUAUCCUCUUUACAAAUGGGAUUCUUCACCCACUCCCUUCUUCUAGAUUAGCAAUGCCCUGUUAAGUAAACGAACACGAAAUUCAAAGGGAAACAGGAGCAAUCAUCAUUACCAGCUGCCGUGUUAAGCAUUGCGAAAACGCUCACGAUUCACAGAAAAAUCCAUGCUGUUCUUUGAAGGCAUUCAAGCCUUAAUAGCUAGCUGGAUGAAUGUUUAACUUCUAGGCCAGGCACUACUCUGUCCCAACAAUAAGCCCUGUACAUUGGGAAAGGUGCCGAGACAUGAACUUUGGUCUUCUCUGCAAUCCAUCUGGAGCAUUCACUGACAACAUCGACUUUGAAGUUGCACUGACCUGGCCAGCCCUGCCACUUACCAGGCUGUGGCUUGCCUUUUCACUUCUUGUGUCCUGUUUAAGAAAUAUCUGCUAUCCCAAGAUAACACUAACAAAGUUGACCUUAGAAUUGGAGUGCCUGGGUUAGAACCCUGCUGGUACCACCUGCUUACUGCAUGCUUCUGAUGUGAGUUCAGGAGAAGACACUGGCAAGGACAGCAAAGAACAGGAGAACACUCUAGCUUCCCUGAUAGCAUUCAAGGUGCUGUCCAAAGCUCUUGAGUUUCUGCUUUCAAGUGACCCUCAGAAAUUCCUCCAUUCACUGCAGAGGUUCUGUUUCUCCUUGCUUUGUUCUGACUUUACGGCAGAACUAAGCUAAUGAGUUAGUUACUAUGGGUUAUCACUUGGAUUUGAAGAACCAUCAUUUCUAGGCAUUGCUGCUCAGAGUGACCUUGCCAUCGUAUCCCCUUUUGGAGACACAAGCCAGGAAGGAAGCUCUUCAGUGCAGCUGUGAAUAGAGAAAUGCUGGCUGAGGUUUUGGAGACACUGGGUGAUCAUUCCCAGUGAAAUUUUUAGAUCCCUGGGGACAUGAGCUGCUUUGUCUUUUCCAAGGCUGAAAAAGUUUUGGAAGCCCUCCUAAGCAGGUGCCAGACCCUUUUUUGGCCAGAGACAGGAUCUUACGCUGUUGCCCAGGCUGGAGUGCAAUAGUGUCAUCAUGGCUCACUGUAGCCUGGAACUGCUGGGCUCAAGGGAUCCUCCCAGCUCAGCCUCCCAAGUAGCUAGGAGUAAAGUUGGAGGAACUGGUUAUUUUCCCAGGGCUUUGACUGAAAUGGCCUUGUGAAUGGUUCCAGGAAAGCCAAUUUUGGAGACCCUAUGUGGAUGAUGAUGCUUGCUGUACUUUCUGUGGGUAAUCGGGCCAAGUAUAUGGGACUGAAGCUAAUUUUGCAGGUGAGAAAAUGGAGGUCCAGAGAGAAAAGUGACUCACCCAAGCUGAAAACAGUUGCAGGAAGAAAAGCCAGGACAGAACUGGGCUGUUAGAAACCUUGGAGUACACUAAAGAUGAGGAACUGAGUCACCGCAAUGCCAAAUGUAACACGCUGUGGGUCAAAAUUUGGAUGGUUGCGUUGGAAAUUAUUCUGAAGCCACAGACAGGGCUAAAAGAGUCUAGAAUGUCCUACUAGCUGUUGGAACCUGCUGGAGUUCUAAAGGCAUGCGAUGUCCUGAAUGUGCUUGACCAAUGGACACAGCAGGUAUUUGAAGAGUUUUGAUGCUUCCUUUCUGUUUUCAGUGCUAUUUUUUUGCUUUAUUUCUUUUAAAAAACUUUCCCCACAGAGGCUAUUUAUUACACAGCAGCAGCCAGCAUGCACCAAGCAGAACUGCUUUUCAUAAUAAACCUAUUUAUCUUCUGGCAUGUCAGAAAUUUCUCAAAUUGAUACUUAUAAUAAAUAUGAUUAAUAACACAUUGUA